rnacentral:rRNA from 3 species
CGCAAGUUGCGCCCGAAGCCAUUAGGUCGAGGGCACGCCUGCCUGGGCGUCACGCAUCGCGUCGCCCCCUCCCACCCCUCUCCUUUGCGAGUGCGGGUGGAUCCGAGGGGACGGACACUGGCCUCCCGUGCUCUUCCUGUGCGGCCGGCCUAAAUUUGAU